rnacentral:piRNA from 1 species
UAGAACUUGCAGAACAUGGGCUAUCCCCA